rnacentral:tRNA from 1 species
CCAUAGCUCAGAUGGGAGAGCACCUGCUUUGCAAGCAGGGGGUCGGCGGUUCGAUCCCGCCUGGCUCCACCAN